rnacentral:lncRNA from 1 species
CUGCAAGCCCAAAAAGAAGCAAAGACAAGAGCCUACCGAAAACUUUUUUACACAGAGAAGCGACGCAGGGAGCAAGAGAAUACUUGGUACAGAGAACAGCACACCCGACUACGCAAUAAUCUCACUAUAAACCACAUCUCGUUAUACAAAGCUCUCAAACAGUAAGCAGCCUAGUUUCAGUACAAGAAUCAAUUACAAAAUCUACACAUUACGCAUGGAUGCCAUAAGCUGAGAGCACGAUAAAUUCCAAUCUAACGUUCCCCGCUCAACAGGAGGCGAGGUAAAUAACCCUGGCCCUACAGAAACCUCUCUCUCCAAUCUCCCGGCGUGCCGAGCAGCAUGCACAGCGACAAGAACAGCAGAACGCAUGGAUUCCCUAUACGCCAUCAUGCAUUCAUAGUUGUAGUCUCAAUUGAUGGCCUGCACAGCAGCGUGAUCGUAAGCGCCAACGCAGCCACGCCAGGCUGUGCUCCAAAAGAACUGCCUCCGUGACACCGCGCCGACGCCUUCCAAAGGAAGCUCAAGCUCUACCCCAGCCAAAACAGAGCCGUCCUCAGUCACCUCAUACAAGUAAAACAAGGCCGGCAAAGCACAACGAGCUGCAAGAGUCUCUAAAACAGGAACGACGAAGUAAACAACAGCACACAUCCUGGAGAGCAUCGCAACAAAAUGAUAAGAAAAAAAAAACACAACCACAACCCACGGAGAUAAUCCGCAGGAACAAAACAAGUGUAAAUAAACAUAGACACAUAUCACACAUAUAUGCAAUACAUAUAUUCUACAGGGAAGAAACAAACCUUGAUAGGAGCACUAAGCACAGUACAGGGCAGGAUCGAGCCAAGAUGAUAUUCUGGACCUGGUAGACCUGUUUGCAGACAAGGCCAAAAGACAACCAAAAAGAAUAUCAGGUCAACAAUCAGGUAAACGUCAUACAAAAUCUGCGAAGGAGAUUUCUGAAGAAGAAAAGAACAACGUCUAAACCCAUAAAGCAGUAGAAACAAAAUAAUACAGAAAGUAAGAACCUCAGCCAUACACAUGAGCGACGGCGAAGGUCAUCGUGAAAGCAAGCAGAUCGGGGCGGAAGAAGGCGAUGCGAGCAGAACACGCGGGAACAGUGGGUCGAAAAGGGGAAAGUGAACGGGAGAGAGAGGAAAGAAGCCGGGUCGAGAGGAGUUAAUUGCAGAGAACUACCACACUUCGGCACGUAAUCAGUACCAUUAGUCAUUUUUUUGGUCAUGCAGUACCAACUCUAAGCCUAAGUGUUGUAAAACGAUCUGACAGCCGUAUAAGUGCGUAUUGACCACGUAUCUGACCGCUUGGACCCGUGUGUCAGGGAUUGACGUGGCAUGCUCUUUUACAAAAACAACCCUUACUUUUUAUUUAAUCACACAUAUAUCUUCUAUUUUUUCAAAAAAAGGUCUUGCCACAAGAACCCUUUUUUCAAAAAUAACGCCACGCGCUCGCAUGGAUUCGAACCCGCAACGUGCCGUUAGAAGAGAACGCUCGCUGCCGCUGCACCUAGAAAGUAAUUACAAAUAUACAGAAAAGAAAUAACAAUAUCCAAUGUAAAAAAGAGCACUACUUCUUCCUUUCUAGGUGAAUAAGGCACCCGAUACUGUCAUCAGUUUAGACGACUUGCAUGAAGGCUAAUAUUUUUCUAUUUACAAGAACCUACUUGAAAAAAGGCACACACAAAGAUCUAUAAAAAGAAGUCUGCUAACAGAAAGGAACACCAAAAGGUACCAUAGAAGACCUAAAAGGCGUAAGAGCGCGAGAGACAAACCUCUGCUAAGAAUGAGCAGCAGCAGCAGACGGUCGAUGAACGGCGGAAGAAGGACGCACAGUUGAGCACCAGCAGACCACGUUCAGUAAAACCUGAGAGCACCGGCGAGUUAGGAAUUUCAUCAAACAUGUAAGCCGCAAGGCAAGAAAUGCAAGCAGAGGAAACGAAAAUACACCGGAAGAAAAAGCAAAGAGGGGCACCUACUCAAGAAUCAUUACCACGUCAAGAAAACACAGGACAACCUAGAUCUGCAGGAAAGGAAAAAAGGAAGGUUUAGAACGGAGGAGAUCGAACCAUGGACGAACCGAACAACAAGGUGGACGAUCUAACCUCAGCCAUACGCAUGAUCGACGGCGAAGGUCAUCGUGAAAGCAAGCAGAUCGGGGCGGAAGAAGGCGAUGCGAGCAGAACACGCGGGAACAGUGGGUCGAAAAGGGGAAAGUGAACGGGAGAGAGAGGAAAGAAGCCGGGUCGAGAGGAGUUAAUUGCAGAGAGCUAC